rnacentral:rRNA from 1 species
UACGUAGGGUGCGAGCGUUAAUCGGAAUUACUGGGCGUAAAGCGUGCGUAGGUGGUUCGUUAAGUCUGAUGUGAAAGCCCUGGGCUCAACCUGGGAAUGGCAUUGGAUACUGGCGACCUAGAGUGCGGUAGAGGGGUGUGGAAUUCCCGGUGUAGCAGUGAAAUGCGUAGAUAUCGGGAGGAACAUCUGUGGCGAAGGCGACACCCUGGACCAGCACUGACACUGAGGCACGAAAGCGUGGGGAGCAAACAGG